GCAUUGGUGGUUCUGUGAUAGAAUUCCCGCCUUCCAUGCCGGAGACCCAGGUUGAAUUCCCAGCCAAUACA
rnacentral:tRNA from 1 species